rnacentral:rRNA from 1 species
CCUACGGGGGGCAGCAGCUAGGAAUAUUGGACAAUGGGCGAAAGCCUGAUCCAGCAACACCGCGUGGAGGACGAAGGCCUUCGGGUCGUAAACUCCUUUUUGGGGGGAUGAGCAAGGAAAGUACCCCCAGAAUAAGGCCCGGCUAACUACGUGCCAGCAGCCGCGGUAAUCCGUAGGGGCCAAGCGUUAUCCGGAUUUACUGGGAGUAAAGCGCAUGUAGGCGGUCUGCUAAGUCGGACGUGAAAGAUCCUGGCUCAACUGGGAGAGGUCGUUCGAAACUAGUAGACUGGAGGGUGGUAGAGGAGAGCGGAAUUCCAGGUGUAGCGGUGAACUGCGUAGAUAUCUGGAGGAACACCAGUGGCGAAAGCGGCUCUCUGGCCCACUCCUGACGCUGAGAUGCGAAAGCCAGGGGAGAGAACGGGAUUAGAUACCCGAGUAGUC